GGCCUGUAGCCUGCCAGACUCCUCUGCCCAUGGGAUUUCCCAGGCAAGAAUGCUGGAGUGGGUUGGCAUUUCCUUCUCCAGGGGAUCUUCUGACCCAGGACUCGAACCUGUGUCUCCUGUGGCUCUUGCAUUGGCAGGCCAUUUUGUCUUAUCUGCUGUUGAAACUCUGCCACACAGCUUUGAACACUGAAGCACAGGAAUGAGAAAUUUGUUCAUGUCUCUUGCUAUGCUUGACAUUUCCACACUGAUAAGAAACCCACGUCCAGGGAGCAGCGGCUGCGCAGUUACAGGAGGGCCGAGAGGAGCUACUCCACGUCCAAGGUCAGGAGGGGAAGCCAUGAGGAGAUACCCCUUGUCCAAGGUAAGGAGCAGUGGCUAUGCUUUGCUGGAGCACCCAUGAAGAG
ensembl:lncRNA